rnacentral:tRNA from 1 species
GGCGGAUGUAGCCAAGUGGAUCAAGGCAGUGGACACCAUACGCGGGUUCAAUCCCCGUCAUUCGCC